AUUGAACGCUGGCGGCAGGCCUAACACAUGCAAGUCGUAUGGUAACAGGCAACAGCUUGCUGUUUCGCUGACGAGUGGCGGAUGGGUGAGUAAUGUCUGGGAAACUGCCUGAUGGAGGGGGAUAACUACUGGAAACGGUAGCUAAUACCGCAUAACGUCGCAAGACCAAAGAGGGGGACCUUCGGGCCUUUUGCCAUCAGAUGUGCCCAGUUGGGAUUAGCUAGUAGGUGGGGUAACGGCUCACCUAGGCGACGAUCCCUAGCUGGUCUGAGAGGAUGACCAGCCACACUGGAACUGAGACACGGUCCAGACACCUACGGGAGGCAGCAGUGGGGAAUAUUGCACGAUGGGCGCAAGCCUGAUGCAGCCAUGCCGCGUGUAUGAAGAAGGCCUUCGGGUGGUAAAGUACUUUCAGCGGGGAGGAAGGGAGUAAAGUUAAUACCUUUGCUCAUUGACGUUACCCGCAGAAGAAGCACCGGCUAACUCCGUG
rnacentral:rRNA from 1 species